rnacentral:rRNA from 1 species
CAGUAGCCGCGGGAAUACGUAGGUGGCAAGCGUUGUCCGGAAUUAUUGGGCGUAAAGCGCGCGCAGGUGGUUAAUAAGUCUGAUGUGAAAGCCCACGGCUCAACCGUGGAGGGUCAUUGGAAACUGUUAGACUUGAGUGCAGGAGAGAAAAGUGGAAUUCCUAGUGUAGCGGUGAAAUGCGUAGAGAUUAGAAGGAACACCAGUGGCGAAGGCGGCUUUUUGGCCUGUAACUGACACUGAGGCGCGAAAGCGUGGGGAGCAAACAGGAUUAGAGACCCCUGUAGUCCCUGUCUCUUAUACA